AACAAAAUAAGCUAAGAGGUAAGCUAUUGGGUUCAUACCCCAAAAAUGAAUUUUUUCUUUUGUUA
rnacentral:tRNA from 1 species